GAAAUUUUCUGAUUUGAACAGCCAUCAAAGUAGGCACGCACGAGGACCUCCAAGAGGACCCUACUGUGGAAGUUUGAACUCUUCCUCCAAUUUACUUGCUUGCAUAACUUGGAUUGAACUUGGCGAGGUAUUGAAGAAACCUUCCUGAUACGUUUUGUUUAGGGUUUCUAUUACUUUUGACUAUGUUUUGGCUUUUGGAUUGUAUUUUGGAAUCCGAAUGUAACUCUUGGGGCAUGAUGUAUAUUUGGAAUUUAUAAUGGUUGUUGAACACCCGAUGUGCGGGUUGGAUAACGGAUGACUUUUAUUAAAUUUGAACGCUUCC